rnacentral:lncRNA from 1 species
GCCAUGUUGGUAAUUGGAUAGUUGUCCCCUGAAAUUCCUCUCUGGUGGAGAAAGACUUGAGAGUACCUCUUUGCAGACAUCCGCUGCCCCAUGCCAAGGGCGUGGGACGCUGACCUCUGAUGCCAGAGUCUUGACAGGGCCAGGGUGUGCCUGGGGGGGCCUCUCAGAGCCCCAGUUGCUCUUCAGUCCCUUCUCUUGGAGUCCUCUUCCCAGUGUAAUGCCGCACACCCUCUCAGGACUCUGCCAGCAACAGCCCAUCACCCUGCCGUGGCUGCUGCUUGCUGAGGACUGGUCAUGGACCAGGCAUUGGGAGGGACCCAUUAUGUACGUAGCUGAAUCCUCUCAACAGUCCUGAAAGGAAGGGAGUUAGAACUCCAUUCUAUAAAGGAGGAAACUAAGGUUUCCAAAGAUCCACAGCCAGUGGUGAGGAGGGGAUCCUUGCCCAGGAAGGCAAAUGGACCAUCUCCAUGCUGCUCUUUCACUGCCCAUGGAAGCCUAUGAACUAAGGCCUUGAGGCAGGAAGAGGAAGAAAUACCAAGGGGAAGAGUGCAGAAAAGGAAGGUCAUGUGAAGACACAGGAGGAAGACGGCCAUAUACGAGCCAGGGAGAGUGGCCUCAGAAGACAACAACCCUGCUGACACCUUACUCUUGGACUUCCGCCUUCCAGAACUGUGAGACAACAAAUUCUGUUAAGACGCCCACUCUGUGGUACUUCGUUAUGGCAUCCUGAGCAGACCAGUACAGUGAUCUACCGCUAGUUACUUCCGGUCGUUGGUGGCAGAGCUGAGACUGGAUCCCAGGAGUUCCGGCUCCUGGCUCACUUCCUGCUGCUUCAGGCCACUUUCCCUCCUGCUUGACUGUGGUGCAGUGGUUAUGGAUUCCCUGGAUUCUAAUCUCAGGCUCCAUCAAUCUCUAGCUAUGCAAUCUUGGCAAGUUACUUGUAUUUACACAGGAUGCUUGUAAUUAUAGUAUCUUCCCAUGCUGCAGUGCGGAUCAAAUGAGUUACCACGCAGGAGGUGCUCGGAGUGGAGUAAUUGGUCAGUGAAUCUCAGGUAUUGCUUCCCAACUCUGUAGCCCAGACUGAGAGAGAACAAAGGGAGUUUUCUAGCGAAACCCCUGAGAGCCUUCUCCUGAAUGUCGACAGCUUAAAAAAUAAAUAAAGGGAAGGGGAAAAUGAGGUACAAGAUCACCAAUGCAAAAACUGCACACAAAGGAGAGAGUCUCUUUCCUCGUGGAAAGUGUUAAAUGUUGCAGCAAAAUCUCUCUGCUACAUCAGCUAUAGAAUCUGUAAUCAUUUGCAAAGCAGAAACUAUUAUUCAUCAAUGUCGCUGUCAUCAAAUAAAAUGUAAGUGCCUACAGAGACACAGUGUGGUCUAAGGAGGCUUGCAAACAACCUGUAAUUGGUAC